rnacentral:tRNA from 1 species
GUUCCUGUGGUUUUAUGUGUCUUUUAGUUGUAUAGUGGUUGAUUGUUCC